UUGAAUUCAGCUCCACAACUUCUCUCCUUCUACGUUCUGUUCCUUAGUAUAUGUUUGUAGUGCUAGUGUUUCGUGUUUCGUGUUUUUCCAUUCCAUCUGUUUGGUUGAGCAACGGCGAUGAAUCUGUCCCAAAGAUGUUUAAUUUAAUUUUUUUUAAAAAUGUUAUUUUGUUUGCGCUCAAAUAUUCGAGUUAAUUUUUGCGAGAUGACGAUGAAAUUCAUGUCUGUCAAUCCACUGAUUUACUGUGAUGUUAAAUCUGAAUACCUACUACAGGUUCUGAUCGCUUCUGAAAUUCAAAUUCAUCUGUUUCAUUUCAAAUUUAGUUAUUUUGGAAAUUUUUGGUAGCAGAGGAUGAAUUUAAGGUUAAAUGGGUAUUUUGCGACUGAUAUUUAGUUGAUGCUAAACUCUUCUAUGAGAAUUGAUGCCCCUCAAAAAUUUGAUAUCUCUAUUGGAUUACAUCAUUAGAUUUAUAUGAAUGAGUGUUUCUGUUUAGUUAUUCUUUAAAAGCAGUUUUCAAUUUCUUUAAUAGGAGUAUUACAUUUUUUUGGUAUUGUGCAUUUGAAUUAAGCAGCGGUGAUGAACAUUCAACUGUGACCGAAGACGCUUGACGUCAGUGACGGUACACAACCCUCUAAGAAGUUCUGAGCUCCAUUUUGCUAUUUCUUUUUACCUUUCAUUAGAAAUCUUAUUCUCAUUUUGGCAAAGUGACGAUGAAAUUCAUGCUCAAAUCACUGAUUUAUUAUGUGAUGUUAAAAUUGAAUCUCGACAGGUUCUGAUCGCUUGUUAAAUUUCAUUUAUUUGUUGGAAAUUUUAAAUUGUGAGAUUUGGUUGUGCGGCAGAUGAUGAAUCUAAUGUGAAAUGGGUAAUUUGCGACUGAUUUGUUGUGAUGCUAAACUCACCUUGGAGAACUGAUGCCAAUAAAUUAUUUAUUUAUUUAUUUGGUUGUUUUAAUCUCGGUUGAAUAUCUGCUUUUGGAUUUUUGUUGAAUAGAAAGAUUAAACAUGGAAUCUAAAGCAGAGAUUGUGUGUAUCAACGUUGUGCGAAUUUGAUUCAAAAUGCAUUCUGAUUGAAAGUAUUCUCUGCAAAAUUGAAAUCACAAGGCGAAGAUGGGCAGUAGUCUUUCAAAUUUUCAGUUGAUUUGUCAACAAUCAUCUUCCCCACACUUCCAUAAAAUUUAACUCAUAUUCCCUUUUCUUUCUCACUAGUUGCAUAUGUUACCAAUUAAAUACUUUCUUGUCUUAAUUUAUUUUACACCUAUGUUGCCAUUGCUACUGCUGCUCUGGUAGGAUUCCUCUGCCGCAGCAUGAAGCUGUUUCCCUUGUAAUAUUGUUAGCAAAAUCAUGUUUUUAUGCAAUUUACAUUCCUAAUUUUGUAAGCUAUGUGAAUUUCAUAUAUUCUGUAUAUUUUAUGUUCUGAUUGAGCUGGUUGAGCUAUUGUUGGUUUUAUGCAUUUAAAUUAAGCAGCUAUGAUGAAUAUUCAACUGUGACCGGAGACUUGUUGUCAGUGACGGUACACAACCCUCUAAGAAGUUCUGAGUGCUUUAUUUUGUUUGAAAUCUUAUGCUCAAUUUUCCUAAUUGAUUUUGGCGAAGUGACGAUGAAAUUCAUGCUCAAAUCACUGAUUUGUUAUGAUGUUAAAAUUGAAUCUCGACAGAUGAUGAAUCUAAUGUGCAAUGGGUAAUUUGCGACUGAUUUGUUGGGAUGCUAAACUCACCUUGGAGAACUGAUGCUCACAAAAUCAAAAUCACUAGGUGAAGAUGGGCAGCUGUGUUUCAAUUUUUCAGUUGAUCUGUCAACAAUCAUCUUCCCCACACUUUUCAUAGUACUAAUAUUUAAUAUUCCCUUCUCUUUCCAACAUUGUUUACAUAUGUCACUAAUUCAUUACUCUCUUCUCUUACAUAAUUGAUAUACACUAUGUGUCCAUUGCCGCUGACCAGGAAGGAUUCCUCCGUUGCAGGAUGAAGCCUUUUUUCCCUUGUAAAAAUGUUAGCAAAAUCAUGUUUUUAUGUAUUUAUAUAUGUCAAUUUCAUAUCUCCAGUAAGUAUUUUAUUUUCGGCUUGGGAUAUAAUCAGCUACACAUCAUCCUAUCAGUAUGAAAGUGUGUUUCUGUUUGAUUUAUUAUACAAGUACAGUAGUAUUUUUUAUAUCUAAUCUAAUAUAGAGAAGAAGUGUAUGAAAAGAGUGUAUCUGUUUGAAUUAGGCAGCAGCGAUGAUAUCCAAUUUGUGACCGAAGAUGCUUGUCGUCUGUGAUGGUGUACACAACCCUCUAAGAUGUUCUGAGCUCCAUUUUGCCAACUUUACCUUAUUUUGUUAGAAAUUUUAUGCUCAAAUUUUGAUUUUAGCGAGGUGAUGAUGAAAUUCAUGCUCAAAUCACUGAUUUAGUGUGAUCUGAAAAUUGAAAUCUCGACAGGUUCUGAUCGCUUGGUUAAAUUGUGUAAAAGCUUUAAUGUUAUGUAUUUUAACUUUGUUGGAAUUUUUUUAAUUUUGUGGCAGAGGAUGAAUCUAAUUUGCGACUGAUUUGUUACGAUGCACAACUCACCUUGGAGAACUGAUGCCCACAAAAUUGGAAUUUAUUCACUAAUUUACACUCCCUUUCAUUUUCUGCUGUUAAUUGUUCUUGAUUAUCAAUCUCUUCUUUUGGAUUCUUGAUGAACGGAAAAGUGCAAAAAUGGAAUCUUAAGCAGAGAUUGUGUGUAUGGUCUUGUGUGAAUUUGAUUCAAAUUGCAUCCUGAUCGAAAUUUAA